rnacentral:rRNA from 1 species
CGGUUGAUCCUGCCGGACCCCACCGCUAUCGGGAUAGGACUAAGACAUGCUAGUCGUGCGCCUCCCAAGCCUAAUGGUUGCAGAGUCGCGGCCCACAGCUCAGUAACACGUGGCUAACCUGCCCUUGGGACAGGGAUAACCCCGGGAAACUGGGGCUAAUCCCUGAUAGGUGAGGGUUCCUGGAAUGGACCCUCACCGAAAGGGCGCCUAGAGCAUGCUUCUAGGCGCCGCCCAAGGAUGGAGCCGCGGCCGAUCAGGUUGUUGGUGAGGUAACGGCUCACCAAGCCUUUAACCGGUACGGGCCGUGAGAGCGGGAGCCCGGAGAUGGGUACUGAGACAAGGACCCAGGCCCUACGGGGCGCAGCAGUCGCGCAAACUCACCAAUACACGAAAGUGUGAGUGGGCUAUCCCGAGUGCCGUCCGCUGAGGACGGCUUUUCCCUAGUGUACAAAGCUAGGGGAAUAAGGAGAGGGCAAGUCUGGUGUCAGCCGCCGCGGUAACACCAGCUCUCCGAGUGGUGGGGAUGCUUAUUGGGCCUAAAGCAUCCGUAGCCGGCUGGGCAAGUCCCCCGUUAAAUCCAACGAUUCAAUCGUUGGACUGCGGGGGAUACUGCCCAGCUAGGGGGCGGUAGAAGCCGACGGUAUUCCCGGGGUAGGGGUGAAAUCCUAUAAUCCCGGGAAGACCACCAGUGGCGAAGGCUGUCGGCUAGAACGCGCCCGACGGUGAGGGAUGAAAGCUGGGGGAGCGAACCGGAUUAGAUACCCGGGUAGUCCCAGCUGUAAACGAUGCAGGCUAGGUGUUGGAGCGGCUACGUGCCGCUCCAGUGCCGCAGGGAAGCCGUUAAGCCUGCCGCCUGGGAAGUACGGCCGCAAGGCUGAAACUUAAAGGAAUUGGCGGGGGAGCAC